GUGCUCCCCUCCUUGUAGGCAGUGGCCGAAAACAGCAGUGCCCUCGGUCGUAUACACAGCCUGCUGCAUGUAGGGGUGGCCUUAAGGGACCUUGGAGAUAACC
ensembl:snoRNA SNORA70 Small nucleolar RNA SNORA70